UGGGGAAUUUUGCACAAUGGGGGAAACCCUGAUGCAGCGACGCCGCGUGAUUUAGAAGGCCUUCGGGUUGUAAAAAUCUUUUCUAUGGGAAGAAAAUGACAGUACCAUAGGAAUAAGGACCGGCUAAUUACGUGCCAGCAGCCGCGGUAAUACGUAAGGUCCGAGCGUUGUCCGGAAUCAUUGGGCGUAAAGGGUACGUAGGCGGGUAAGCAAGUUAGAAGUGAAAUCCUAUAGCUAAACUAUAGUAAGCUUUUAAAACUGUUCAUCUUUAGGGUGGGAAGGGAAAGUGGAAUUCCUAGUGUAGCGGUGAAAUGCGCAGAUAUUAGGAGGAAUACCGGUGGCGAAGGCGACUUUCUGGCCAUAACCUGACGCUGAGGUACGAAAGCGUGGGUAGCAAAAAGG
rnacentral:rRNA from 1 species